AACGAACGCUGGCGGCAUGCCUAACACAUGCAAGUCGAACGAAGUCUUCGGACUUAGUGGCGCACGGGUGCGUAACGCGUGGGAAUCUGCCCUUGGGUGCGGAAUAACUUCUCGAAAGGGAUGCUAAUACCGCAUAAUGUCGUAAGACCAAAGAUUUAUCGCCCAAGGAUGAGCCCGCGUAAGAUUAGCUAGUUGGUGGGGUAAAAGCCUACCAAGGCGACGAUCUUUAGCUGGUCUGAGAGGAUGAUCAGCCACACUGGGACUGAGACACGGCCCAGACUCCUACGGGAGGCAGCAGUGGGGAAUAUUGGACAAUGGGCGAAAGCCUGAUCCAGCAAUGCCGCGUGAGUGAUGAAGGCCCUAGGUUGUAAAGCUCUUUUACCAGGGAUGAUAAUGACAGUACCUGGAGAAUAAGCUCCGGCUAACUCCGUGCCAGCAGCCGCGGUAAU
rnacentral:rRNA from 1 species